rnacentral:rRNA from 1 species
GAUAAACGCUGGCGGCGUGCAUGAGACAUGCAAGUCGAACGGACGAUCGGGGCUUGCUCCGAUCGUUAGUGGCGGACGGCUGAGUAACGCGUAGGUGACCUGCCCCGAAGUGGGGAAUAACUGCCCGAAAGGGUGGCUAAUACCGCAUGUGGUGGUGCGUUCAUUCGUACCAGUAAAGCCGCAAGGCGCUUCGGGAGGGGCCUGCGUCCGAUUAGCUCGUUGGUGGGGUAACGGCUCACCAAGGCGACGAUCGGUAGGUGGUCUGAGAGGACGAUCACCCAGACUGGGACUGAGACACGGCCCAGACUCCUACGGGAGGCUG